rnacentral:rRNA from 1 species
GACGAAGGUGGCAAGCGUUGUUCGGAUUCAUUGGGCUUAAAGAGCACGUAGGCGGCCCUUCAAGUGUCUUGUGAAAUCCCUCGGCUCAACCGAGGAAUUGCUGGGCAUACUGUCGGGCUUGAGGUAGGUAAGGGCGAGUGGAACUCUUGGUGGAGCGGUGGAAUGCGUAGAUAUCAAGAGGAACGCCGGUGGUGAAGACGAUUCGCCAGGCCUAUCCUGACGCUGAGGUGCGAAAGCCAGGGGAG